GACGAACGCUGGCGGCGUGCUUAACACAUGCAAGUCGAACGGAAAGGCCCUGCUUUUGUGGGGUGCUCGAGUGGCGAACGGGUGAGUAACACGUGAGUAGCCUGCCCUUGACUUUGGGAUAACUUCAGGAAACUGGGGCUAAUACCGGAUAGGAGCUCCUGCUGCAUGGUGGGGGUUGGAAAGUUUCGGCGGUUGGGGAUGGACUCGCGGCUUAUCAGCUUGUUGGUGGGGUAGUGGCUUACCAAGGCUUUGACGGGUAGCCGGCCUGAGAGGGUGACCGGCCACAUUGGGACUGAGAUACGGCCCAGACUCCUACGGGAGGCAGCAGUGGGGAAUAUUGCACAAUGGGCGGAAGCCUGAUGCAGCAACGCCGCGUGCGGGAUGACGACCUUCGGGUUGUAAACCGCUUUCGCCUGUGACGAAGCGUGAGUGACGGUAAUGGGUAAAGAAGCACCGGCUAACUACGUG
rnacentral:rRNA from 1 species